rnacentral:rRNA from 1 species
CGAGAAUCUUCGGCAAUGGGCGCAAGCCUGACCGAGCGACGCCGCGUGCGGGAUGAAGGCCCUCGGGUUGUAAACCGCUGUCGGAGGGGAGGAAAUGCCAAGGGGUUCUCCUCUUGGUUUGACCUAUCCUCAAAGGAAGUACGGGCUAAGUUCGUGCCAGCAGCCGCGGUAAGACGAACCGUACAAACGUUAUUCGGAAUUACUGGGCUUAAAGGGUGCGUAGGCGGCCCGGAAAGUUGGGUGUGAAAUACCUCGGCUCAACCGAGGAAUUGCGCUCAAAACUACCGGGCUCGAGGAAGAUAGAGGUGAGCGGAACUUAGGGUGGAGCGGUGAAAUGCGUUGAUAUCCUAAGGAACACCGGUAGCGAAAGCGGCUCACUGGGUCUUUUCAGACGCUGAGGCACGAAAGCUAGGGGAGCGAAGAG